rnacentral:rRNA from 1 species
CAGUCGCCGCGGUAAUACGAAGGGUGCAAGCGUUACUCGGAAUUACUGGGCGUAAAGCGUGCGUAGGUGGUGGUUUAAGUCCGUUGUGAAAGCCCUGGGCUCAACCUGGGAAUUGCAGUGGAUACUGGGUCACUAGAGUGUGGUAGAGGAUAGUGGAAUUUCCGGUGUAGCAGUGAAAUGCGUAGAGAUCGGAAGGAACAUCUGUGGCGAAGGCGACUAUCUGGGCCAACACUGACACUGAGGCACGAAAGCGUGGGGAGCAAACAGGAUUAGAUACCCGCGUAGUCCCUGUCUCUUAUAU